rnacentral:rRNA from 1 species
GAUGAACGCUGGCGGCGUGCCUAAUACAUGCAAGUCGAGCGAACAGACGAGGAGCUUGCUCCUCUGACGUUAGCGGCGGACGGGUGAGUAACACGUGGAUAACCUACCUAUAAGACUGGGAUAACUUCGGGAAACCGGAGCUAAUACCGGAUAAUAUAUUGAACCGCAUGGUUCAAUAGUGAAAGACGGUUUUGCUGUCACUUAUAGAUGGCUCCGCGCCGCAUUAGCUAGUUGGUAAGGUAACGGCUUACCAAGGCAACGAUGCGUAGCCGACCUGAGAGGGUGAUCGGCCACACGGUAACUGAGACAGGGCCCAGACUCCGACGGGAGGCAGCAGUAGGGAAUCUUACGCAAUGGAGGAAAGCCUGACGGAGCAACGCCGCGUGAAUGAUGAAGGUCUUCGGAUCGUAAAACUCUGUUAUUAGGGAAGAACAAAUGUGUAAGUAACUAUGCACGUCUUGACGGUACCUAAUCAGAAAGCCACGGCUAACUACGUG